UACGUAGGGGGCAAGCGUUGUCCGGAUUCAUUGGGCGUAAAGAGCGUGUAGGCGGCCAGGUAGGUCGGUUGUGAAAACUGGAGGCUCAACCUUCAGAGGUCGACCGAAACCAUCUGGCUAGAGUCCGGGAGAAGAGAGUGGAAUUCCUGGUGUAGCGGUGAAAUGCGCAGAUAUCAGGAAGAACACCCGUGGCGAAAGCGGCUCUCUGGAACGGUACUGACGCUGAGACGCGAAAGCGUGGGGAGCGAACAGG
rnacentral:rRNA from 1 species